rnacentral:rRNA from 1 species
GGGAUCAUUACUGAGUGAGGGCUCACGCCCGACCUCCAACCCUUUGUGAACCAAACUUGUUGCUUCGGGGGCGACCCUGCCGACGACUCCGUCGCCGGGCGCCCCCGGAGGUCUUCUAAACACUGCAUCUUUGCGUCGGAGUUUAAAACAAAUUAAACAAAACUUUCAACAACGGAUCUCUUGGUUCUGGCAUCGAUGAAGAACGCAGCGAAAUGCGAUAAGUAAUGUGAAUUGCAGAAUUCAGUGAAUCAUCGAAUCUUUGAACGCACAUUGCGCCCUUUGGUAUUCCGAAGGGCAUGCCUGUUCGAGCGUCAUUUCACCACUCAAGCCUGGCUUGGUAUUGGGCGUCGCGGUGUUCCGCGCGCCUUAAAGUCUUCCGGCUGAGCUGUCCGUCUCUAAGCGUUGUGGAUUUUUCAAUUCGCUUCGGAGUGCGGGUGGCCGCGGCCGUUAAAUCUUUAUUCAAAGGUUGACCUCG